GGGAGACAGACAUCGGGUGCUAACGUCCGGUGUCAAGAGGGAAACAACCCAGACCGCCAGCUAAGGUCCCCAAAUAUGGCUAAGUGGGAAACGAAGUGGGAAGGCUAAAACAGUCAGGAGGUUGGCUUAGAAGCAGCCAUCCUUUAAAGAAAGCGUAAUAGCUCACUGAUCGAGUCGUCCUGCGCGGAAGAUGUAACGGGGCUAAGCCAUAUACCGAAGCUGCGGAUGCACAUUAAUGUGCAUGGUAGGAGAGCGUUCCGUAAGCCUGCGAAGGUGCACUGGAAAGUGUGCUGGAGGUAUCGGAAGUGCGAAUGCUGACAUGAGUAGCGAUAAAGGGGGUGAAAGGCCCCCUCGCCGUAAGCCC
rnacentral:rRNA from 1 species